CAAAGCGUGUGUGACUUUAGCGACAGGUAUGGACAAAAUAUGAACUGGAAAUACAUGCGGGGAACGCUGUCUCUACCAUACGUCUAUCGUAUCGGUAUAUAAGUUUGUUGGUUAUUCUUCUUUCGCGCGUAUAUAAUAAUUGGUUUUGUGUGGAUAGAGUCUCACUACGUGCAAAUUGCUGCAUCUGGAAACCAACGGGCUAACGGUGACUAUUCUAAAGUGCGUGUUCGCGAAAUAAUCUAAUGGAAUUUUCAAUAACAAAUAAAACAAAGUUCCCGGUAGGACUUUUAAUUGCGUUCGCGAACACUCACGUGAGUGUUUAGAAUAAUGCUGACUCUACGUUGAAAUUUGAGGUGACAUGAGCUAAGAGAAGGGUCAGUCUCCGCUUAUGGGUAACUGAACUGUCGCAACAUCGGCAACUACAUGUACUCUACUACUAAGUAGAAUCUUUCGUGUAUCCCAAAUUUCGAAUAAUACAAUGAAAUCCAUGAUAAGUCUAUCCCUCGUUGAUCCCUCUAUGAUCCCUGGAAAAGAAGAAGAGAAGAUGAAGAACAGAAAGAAAAGAAAUAUGAGAUAGAAAAGCGAAGCGAAGAAAGAAAAGAAAAAAGAGCCGGAACGUACACGCACGUGACAACGACGAAACCCAGAGCAAGAGGUGGACAUAGUGAAUAUCGCUCUACCCGAUCAAAAUCAGAAUAUCAAAAUCGAGCUCUAUUUUACCCUAUUGAAAGAAGGAGACCCGCUCAAGAUUCUUUCUAAAGAACCACAUUCAAAGGCCCAACCUAUGGGUCCCAACCGAAAUUUAUGAAUAAUAAUUAAUAAGAAUAAAUAGGAAUCACAGCGAACAUAAGUGCGGUAGAAAAAUUUUUUAUGCGUUUCUUUUAGAAAAUAUUUAAAAAUUCUACUAUAUUUAAUUAUUUAUCUAUUGAAAUAUUAAUUGCAAUAUAAAAUGUAAGUACUUUAAUGUUUAGUUAAAAUUCAUGAAUCUCGUACGUUCUUUGAAUGUUACAUAAGUGUUCAAUUAUGUUUGUCAAAAAAUAAAAUUUAAUUUCAUUUGUUAUAAUCGGGUCUUACGAUUUUGAUAAUGUUACUAAGAAUAUUUUAUUGCUUAAAUAUUAAUUUAUUCUAUUUCAUUUAUCUCGUACAUUG